AGCAGUAGCCGCGGUAAUACGUAGGGUGCAAGCGUUAAUCGGAAUUACUGGGCGUAAAGCGUGCGCAGGCGGUUUGUUAAGACAGAUGUGAAAUCCCCGGGCUCAACCUGGGACCUGCAUUUGUGACUGUAUAGCUAGAGUACGGUAGAGGGGGAUGGAAUUCCGCGUGUAGCAGUGAAAUGCGUAGAUAUGCGGAGGAACACCGAUGGCGAAGGCAAUCCCCUGGACCUGUACUGACGCUCAUGCACGAAAGCGUGGGGAGCAAACAGGAUUAGAUACCCGCGUAGUCCCUGUCUCUUAUAC
rnacentral:rRNA from 1 species